AUUUUAAUCUUUUCCUUUUCACUCCUUCAUAACCUGCUGUACAGCUAAAUCAUUUUACAAAUACGUCUUUCCUCCUUUUCCCUAGGAAUGCUUUGCCUUUUAUCUUUCCUUUGGAAGCAGUAUCCAUAAGCCUUCAUCAGAAGCUUCUAAAAGUGGAAGGGAUUUUUCUUUGUUAGAAAGGACCACGGGCUAAUUAAAGGAGAUUGCUAUAAGCUGCUUUCAUAACUGACUUUACAGUGUACAUUUAUCAGAAAUGUAAAACAUGACUGAGCUUUAAGGAAUUGUCUACGUUAAGGCAAGAAGGUUGUAUCAGAGUAAGAUGGACGGUAGCUUUGAUUGUGAUUGUGGUGAGCUGGAGCCACCUGAUCACUAACAAAAGACAUCUUCUGUUAACCAACAGCCGCCAGGGCUUCCUGUUGAAAUAAAUAUAUAGCAACAAAGGAAAAAAAGAAGCAAAACGGAAAUAGUGCUUACCAGCACCUUAGAAUGAUGCUGCUCAGGACCAGUCCAACACUGAAUGUAUCUGCACUGUGAGGAGAAUGUUCAUAGAAGCCUGUUGUGUGCAUAUUUAUUCACAUUUUUG
rnacentral:lncRNA from 1 species